GACGAACGCUGGCGGCGUGCUUAACACAUGCAAGUCGAACGGAAAGGCCCUGCUUUUGUUGGGUGCUCGAGUGGCGAACGGGUGAGUAACACGUGAGUAACCUGCCCUUGACUUUGUGGUAACUUCAGGAAACUGGGGCUAAUACCGGAUAGGAGCUCCUGCUGCGUGGGGUGGGUUGGAAAGUUUCGGCGGUUGGGGAUGGACUUGCGGCUUAUCAGCUUGUUGGUGGGGUAGUGGCUUACCAAGGCUUUGACGGGUAGCCGGCCUGAGAGGGUGACCGGCCACAUUGGGACUAAGAUACGGCCCAGUCUCCUACGGGAGGCAGCAGUGGGGAAUAUUGCACAAUGGGCGGAAGCCUGAUGCAGCAACGCCGCGUGCGGGAUGAAGGCGUUCGGGUUGAAAACCGCUUUCGAAUGUGACGAAGCGUGAGUGACGGUAAUGGGUAAAGAAGCACCGGCUAACUACGUG
rnacentral:rRNA from 1 species